rnacentral:lncRNA from 13 species
CUCAUCAUUUCUGAUUGCUUCUUAACUGCCAAAACGGAAGCAAGUGUUCUGAAGCAGCAGUUUCAACUGGACCAAACUUAGUUACUAACAGGACCUGAUAUUUUAUAUAUUUUGCCUCAGGGAAAAUGAAAUUAACAUCCACAUGUUUACAGGGCAUGAGAUAACAACCUGGACUUAACAGUGACGUCUUUAGGUUGGAAUUAUUUACUUGUUUUUUGUUUUCUUAAUCUGAGAAGUUAAGCAGAGAAGCCCAGAGUUAUCGCACCUCUACACUUUCACGUAACAGCUCAUCCUUGCCUUUUCUCCUCAGUUAAGCAAAAGAGAUGCUUCCAAAUAUGUGAACUGAAAAUACCACAAGGGCCAAUUUCUGUGCAAAGUUGAAAAUGGAUCAAGCUACCCCUUCUCCUUCACUCUCCCCACACACCAUUUUGCCAUCUUUCAAAUGCAGCAGAGAGCACAUCCAUCAAUUCGAGAACUGCUGGGCAUCCCAGGAGCACGCUGCAGGUGGCCUCUGACCCUUUUAGAGCAACCGGAUUCCAUUUAGCAAAUGACCUCCUUCUGGAAAUAAAGAAAAAAUAAUAUCCCAGGCCCAGAAGGAUAAAUUAUGUAUUUUACUCAAGAAAAUGCUAAGAACGUUUACUUCAUGCUAUGGAGUUUUGCUCUUGUCAUCGAGGAUGGAGUGCAGUGGCUCACUGCAACCUCCACCUCCUAGGUGCAAGCAGUAUUCCUGCCUCAGCCUCCUGAGUAGCUGGGAUUAAAGGUGUCUGCCACCAUGCCAGGCUAA